UCCCCGGUAGCUCAGCGGCAGAGCAGACGGUUGUUUCCCGUCCGGUCGAUGGUUCGAAUCCAUUCUCGGGGAGCCA
rnacentral:tRNA from 1 species